UGCUGCCAUGCGUUCUCCACAUUGCUGUC
rnacentral:piRNA from 1 species